rnacentral:lncRNA from 10 species
GAGAAGAGAAGAAACAGAGAAUAAGUAACGUGUCUAACAGGACCUCUGGAGCUCAAGGUUGGGCAAUGUAAACUUCUUUCUGAGUGACAUCCCCUGUCUAGGAUCUGAGUGCUCAGUGGAGGGGAGUCAGCAGGCUAAGGUCUUCUGGGCUUGCUUCUCCUGGCAUAGAACCACCAUCUCGAGUUGGAGAAAAGGCUACUGGGGUCUCAAUAUUUUCACUGCACCGUGCCAGAAGUAGAGCAUUUAUUCCACCAUUGGGGAAAAAGGGAGCCCUCAUCUCCCAUCAACACUCAACUGGAAUUUGACCUCAGCAAUAAACCUUCGGAAGUAAGCUGAGAAACGCUGAAGUCCUGCUCUUCCUGGGAAGGAAGCUUUCUGGUUGGGCAGAAAGGCAUCCCUAUGUUCUUUGCUGCAGCAGUGUGGAGUUGCUGAUCUGGGAGAGGGAAGGGAGGGAGAAGUCUUAGUUCAAAUACCGCAGGCUCUUGCCUUUCUUACAGAAUUUUGGCAGAUUUUCUUGAUGUUUCUUCAUUUUCUGUUUGCCCAUUGGACCAUUUCCAGAGUCUCUGAAUGGUUGUUUUUCAUAAUAAUUUUAAUCAAUUUUAUUGGUGAAAUGAAGCUCCUCAUACUGUCAUGCUAGAAGUCAGUUUUUCAGAUUAGAUUUUAAAUACAUAAAACACAUACAAUUAUAAAAUAAGCCAGCUAUAUUGAAAUACAGCCACCAAAAGUUUUUAAAGUUGUGGCAUAGUACUUAUUUGUUGAUAUAUUAAGUACUGUCUGGCUGUGUUCUAAUAACUACCUUAAUUUAAAAUAGAGAUGUACAUAAAUGAAACAUAUGUUUUGGGAUAUCUACAACAAUAUAAUGUAAUAUAGAAAUAUCUAUGAUUGCUAAUGAUGAAAAAGUCAUAGAGGUUUUAAUUUCAUUAUGGUUUGUUGUCUACGCUCAUGAUUUCAGGAAAUGCUGUUUCAGUUAGAGGUCAGUAAAAAUAAAAAUAUAAAUUUUUCCAAUCUGCAUUUACUGAUCCCUUGAAUUUUACCCACGGUCCUUUUGGGGACCAGGCAAAGAUUUCACAUAAGAUUUUAGAUCAUCACAGAAUC